CAAAGUUUAAGUAGCUCAUAUUUCAUAAUUCUACACUCAUCUGCUCACCCCCAUCUAUAACUGUCUCUCGUAAUUCAAUAUCUUGUGGCAAAAAAAAUAUUAUUUUGAUAUUUGUAAGCAUUAUUUAUUCCUCUAAAGUUUUCCAUAAUUCAUCUCAUGAAUUUGUAACCAAUAUCCGCUCCAGCGAUACACGGCAACACUAACGAAGAGAAAGUGAUAUGUCUCCCGAAAAUAAAUUACAGAAGUGACGCACUAUGAUCAAAUAUAAAAACACAAGCAUCUCUGUGUGCACCUUGUGAUAUUACUGAAUAUAAUUUAUUGUUUGAUGCAUACUUAAUUAUGGAAAAGCCUCUCUCCCUUGGCAGCAUCAGUGAGUGAGCGUGUGUGGGUGUACCGGCGGUGUCUGUACUGCAACAAUGGGGAGGCGGACGUCCAACUUAUCCACAAGUGGAACCUCACCUCCCUUCCCUAUCAUACUGCUGACCUCUUCUUUCAGGAACAGUUUCUUAACUUCAUGGGCCUCAAGAUCCAGUUCUCAAUUAUACGUUACUUCCCAUAUACGGAUUACACACCAGGCAGCAAGGAGCCAGACAGUACCGUCACACUCAGAGACUGUCUUGAUACUAGACUGCUCUCUGUCCUAUCACGUAAACUCAAUUUCAGUAUUGAGGUUAGUGAGCCGCCUCAACGUAUCUGGGGAUCGCAAAAGAACGGCAAGUUCAGCGGAAUGUUGGGUCUACUCUAGCGAGAGGAGGCAGACAUCGGUGUUCCCGUUAGUCCACAAGCAGAGCGAAUGAGUGUCAUGAAGUUUAUCAGUGCUUAUCAGAUUGAUGUCUUGAGCAUAGUGUCACUGAAGCCCCCGUUACUACCACAACACCUGUCGCUUAUAAGACCCUUUACAGGAGAACUGUGGGUGGCGCUGUUGGUGAGCGUAGUGGCGUGGGGUGUGUCCUGUGGUUUAUACAUAGGGC